AUGAAAACAUUUUUUUUUUUUAUUGUGCUGGGUACUCUGUACCUUAGGACUCCUUGGUGUUUCUCUGGGGAGAGUUUUGGGUUUCUCUUUUCGGAUUGUUGGUAUUCAAGUGACGCUCUCCAGCAGGUGACGUCUACACCUACGCACUUGGAGGUCCAUUCCAGAAAGCUAAGCCAAGAGUCAAAAAGAGCCAAGGAAAUGGACAUUUGUAGACCUCGAGGGAAACACAGGUGCAGAGUGAGGGGUGCGAUCCUGAGCACUCAAUGGAAGGCGAGAGGGAGAAGCUUCUAGCACAGCACUUCUCAAACUGGGCUGUGCACACCAGUCACCUGAGACGGUAUGAAAAGGCAGGGCCUGAGGUUCUAACACACGUCCCGAUCGCAUGGGUGAUGCUGAUGCCACCAGCCCAUGGACCAUGCCUGCAGGAGCAAGCCCCUGAAAUAUUUACACCCAUUUUCCAUCGGCCAGUGAAGAGAGCUGAAAAAAUAAAACGAAGAAAUGAAAGCA
rnacentral:lncRNA from 1 species